UACGGGGGGGGCAAGCGUUGUUCGGAAUUACUGGGCGUAAAGCGUGCGCAGGCGGUUUGCUAAGACAGGUGUGAAAUCCCCGGGCUUAACCUGGGAACUGCGCUUGUUACUGGCAAGCUAGAGUGUGGCAGAGGGGGGUGGAAUUCCACGUGUAGCAGUGAAAUGCGUAGAGAUGUGGAGGAACACCGAUGGCGAAGGCAGCCCCCUGGGCUAACACUGACGCUCAUGCACGAAAGCGUGGGGAGCAAACAGG
rnacentral:rRNA from 1 species